rnacentral:ncRNA from 2 species
AUAAAAAUUAAAAAUUAAACACGUAUAACCGCUUUAAUAUGGUAAGCAAGUUUCUACCCUGUGCCGUAAACUCAGGACUACGUGAAGUGAUUCCAUAUAU